rnacentral:tRNA from 1 species
UGGUCUGUAGCUCAGUUGGUAGAGCGCCGCACUGUUAAUGCGGAUGUCGCAGGAUCGAUACCUGCCAGACCAG